UCGAACGGCAGCACGGAGCUUGCUCUGGUGGCGAGUGGCGAACGGGUGAGUAAUAUAUCGGAACGUACCCUAGAGUGGGGGAUAACGUAGCGAAAGUUACGCUAAUACCGCAUACGAUCUAAGGAUGAAAGUGGGGGAUCGCAAGACCUCAUGCUCGUGGAGCGGCCGAUAUCUGAUUAGCUAGUUGGUAGGGUAAAAGCCUACCAAGGCAUCGAUCAGUAGCUGGUCUGAGAGGACGACCAGCCACACUGGAACUGAGACACGGUCCAGACUCCUACGGGAGGCAGCAGUGGGGAAUUUUGGACAAUGGGCGAAAGCCUGAUCCAGCAAUGCCGCGUGAGUGAAGAAGGCCUUCGGGUUGUAAAGCUCUUUUGUCAGGGAAGAAACGGUGAGAGCUAAUAUCUUUUGCUAAUGACGGUACCUGAAGAAUAAGCACCGGCUAACUACGUGCCAGCAGCCGCG
rnacentral:rRNA from 1 species